rnacentral:rRNA from 1 species
UACGUAGGUGGCGAGCGUUUGCCGGAUUUACUGGGCGUAAAGAGCGCGCAGGCGGCUGGUCAAGUCCGACGUGAAAUCUCCCGGCUUAACUGGGAAAUUGCAUCGGAAACUGAUCGGCUUGAAGGUGGGAGAGGGUAGCGGAAUUCCCGGUGUAGUGGUGAAAUGCGUAGAUAUCGGGAGGGAACACCAGUGGCGAAGGCGGCUACCUGGCCCAUUCUUGACGCUGAGGCGCGGAAAGCUAGGGGAGCAAACGGG